CCUACGGGGGGCUGCAGUGGGGAAUAUUGGACAAUGGGGGCAACCCUGAUCCAGCCAUGCCGCGUGUGUGAAGAAGGCCCUCGGGUUGUAAAGCACUUUCAGUGAGGAAGAACGCCUGGUGGUUAAUACCCAUCAGGAAAGACAUCACUCACAGAAGAAGCACCGGCUAACUCCGUGCCAGCAGCCGCGGUAAUACGGAGGGUGCGAGCGUUAAUCGGAAUUACUGGGCGUAAAGCGCGCGUAGGUGGCUUGAUAAGCCGGUUGUGAAAGCCCCGGGCUCAACCUGGGAACGGCAUCCGGAACUGUCAAGCUAGAGUGCAGGAGAGGAAGGUAGAAUUCCCGGUGUAGCGGUGAAAUGCGUAGAGAUUGGGAGGAAUACCAGUGGCGAAGGCGGCCUUCUGGACUGACACUGACACUGAGGUGCGAAAGCGUGGGUAGCAAACAGGAUUAGAUACCCCAGUAGUC
rnacentral:rRNA from 1 species